UACGGAGGGGGCUAGCGUUGUCCGAAGUUACUGGGCGUAAAGCGCGCGUAGGCGGGGGAUUAAGUGAGAAGUGAAAGGCUGGGGCUCAACUCCAUGCAGUGCUUCUCAUACUGGUCUUCUUGAGGGGGGUAGAGAGAAGUGGAAUGGCUGGUGUAGCGGUGAAAUGCGUAGAUAUCAGGAGGAACACCGGUGGUGUAGACGGCUUUCUGGACCGUAACUGACGCUGAGACACGAAAGCGUGGGUAGCAAACAGG
rnacentral:rRNA from 1 species